rnacentral:rRNA from 1 species
GAUCAGGCUCAGGAUGAACGCUGGCGGCGUGCCUAACACAUGCAAGUCGAACGAAGCACCUUACUUGAUUCUUCGGAUGAAGGUCUGGUGACUGAGUGGCGGACGGGUGAGUAACGCGUGGGUAACCUGCCCUGUACAGGGGGAUAACAGCUGGAAACGGCUGCUAAUACCGCAUAAGCGCACGAGGAGACAUCUCCUUGUGUGAAAAACUCCGGUGGUACAGGAUGGGCCCGCGU